rnacentral:tRNA from 1 species
GGCCGGGUAGAGUAAUGGUAACUCGACAGCCUCAUAAGCUGUAGCUGGUGGUUCGAUUCCAUCCCCUGCAUCCA